rnacentral:rRNA from 1 species
AACGAACGCUGGCGGCAUGCCUAACACAUGCAAGUCGAACGAGACCUUCGGGUCUAGUGGCGCACGGGUGCGUAACGCGUGGGAACCUGCCCUUAGGUUCGGAAUAACUCCCCGAAAGGGGUGCUAAUACCGGAUAAUGUCUUCGGACCAAAGAUUUAUCGCCUUUGGAUGGGCCCGCGUUGGAUUAGCUAGUUGGUAGGGUAAAAGCCUACCAAGGCGACGAUCCAUAGCUGGUCUGAGAGGAUGAUCAGCCACACUGGGACUGAGACACGGCCCAGACUCCUACGGGAGGCAGCAGUGGGGAAUAUUGGACAAUGGGCGAAAGCCUGAUCCAGCCAUGCCGCGUGAGUGAUGAAGGCCUUAGGGUUGUAAAGCUCUUUUACACGGGAUGAUAAUGACAGUACCGGGAGAAUAAGCUCCGGCUAACUACGUG